rnacentral:rRNA from 1 species
GAUGAACGCUAGCUACAGGCUUAACACAUGCAAGUCGAGGGGAAACGAUACUGGAAGCUUGCUUCUGAUAGGCGUCGACCGGCGCACGGGUGAGUAACGCGUAUCCAACCUGCCCAUCACUUGGGGAUAACCUUGUGAAAGUAAGACUAAUACCCAAUGACGUCUCUAGAAGACAUCUGAAAGAGAUUAAAGAUUUAUCGGUGAUGGAUGGGGAUGCGUCUGAUUAGCUUGUUGGCGGGGUAACGGCCCACCAAGGCGACGAUCAGUAGGGGUUCUGAGAGGAAGGUCCCCCACAUUGGAACUGAGACACGGUCCAAACUCCUACGGGAGGCAGCAGUGAGGAAUAUUGGUCAAUGGACGAGAGUCUGAACCAGCCAAGUAGCGUGCAGGAUGACGGCCCUAUGGGUUGUAAACUGCUUUUAUAAGGGAUAAAGUGGGAGUCGUGACUCUUUUUGCAUGUACCUUAUGAAUAAGGACCGGCUAAUUCCGUGCCAGCAGCC